rnacentral:sRNA from 1 species
AUUAAUUCCGCGUGAGGGAUAGCAGUGAAAAUCCCACGCUUUUUAGCGUGGAUUGUAACGGAUAGCCCGACCCGAC